rnacentral:lncRNA from 1 species
GACCGCGGACCAUGGACCAAACCGGCCCCGUCGGCGGCCCGGGCGAACGGACGGGCCCGGCGCGCGAGCCCACGAGGCCCAAGGACUGGGACGGAAGACUAUAAAUACCUCCCCUGGUCCAACAGGGGAGGGGGUUGAUAAUUCUGAGAGUUACACUUGUACUAGGUUGGACGGCGAGCUUACCCCGGCGAGCCCACACACCAAC